rnacentral:rRNA from 1 species
GACGAAGGGGGCAAGCGUUGUUCGGAAUUACUGGGCGUAAAGGGCGCGUAGGCGGUCUUGUUAGUCAGGCGUGAAAGCCCUGGGCUUAACCUGGGAUGUGCGCUUGAUACUGCGAGGCUUGAGUGUGGGAGAGGUUGGUGGAAUUCCCAGUGUAGAGGUGAAAUUCGUAGAUAUUGGGAAGAACACCGGUGGCGAAGGCGGCCAACUGGACCACAACUGACGCUGAGGCGCGAAAGCGUGGGGAGCAAACAGG